GAUGAACGCUAGCGGCAGGCUUAAUACAUGCAAGUUGAGGGGCAGCAUGAUAUACGCGAGUAUAUUGAUGGCGACCGGCGGACGGGUGAGUAAUAGGUAGGAGACCUACCUCAUACAGGGGGAUAGCAUAGAGAAAUCUGUGGUAAUACCCCAUGAGGUUAUAUGAAUAGAGGCAUAUAAUCAAAGCAUAAGCGAUUAUGCGGUAUGAGAGGGGCCUACUGACCAUUAGCUAGUUGGUGAGGUAAGGGCUCACCAAGGCGAAGAUGGUUAGGGGUUUUGAGAGAGAGACCCCCCACAUUGGAACUGAGAGACGGUCCAGACUCCUACGGGAGGCAGCAGUAGGGAAUAUUGGGCAAUGGGCGAAAGCCUGACCCAGCCAUGCCGCGUGAAGGAAGACGGCCUUAUGGGUUGUAAACUUCUUUACUACGCGAAUAGAGGUUAGUACGAGAUACUAAUAGGAAGGUAGUGUAGUAAAAGACACCGGCUAACUCCGUGCC
rnacentral:rRNA from 1 species